rnacentral:lncRNA from 1 species
UAAGAGGCUGUAAGCCGAUUCUCUCAAAUUAAAAACUAAUGAGAAAUAAUAACUGGAAGACUCCAAAUAAGGUGUACUUACGACUGGCCAAGAUAUCCUGCCAAUAAAAAGGGAGAUGCAAAGGAGCCUCCCAAGACAGCCAGCACGAGGCACCUGGGAGGAUGGUGGUUUGGGAAGUGAAGAUAAAUACUUCCCUAACAUUAACCCCCCCACCACCCCCCAGCUGUGGAUCUCGGGAAGUCCCUCUCUGGUGUUGAUGUUUCACCACUGAACAGAGGAAAGCCGAAAAACCUGGAGAAAGUGCAUCCUCUCAUGUCCCACCAGGGGUCCCAGAGCGUAUUCCUUCUGUGCUGACGGAAGGAUCCAUCCCUUCCCUCCCUGCCUGAAGCCAUGACUAUGCUGGGGGCAAAACGUCUCCAGAAGAGCUGGAGUGAGAGGACCUUCCUGGGGGGUAUUUCCAACAUGCGACUGGGGGAAUGAGAAGAACUUAGCUCAAUUAUUUUGUUUUAAAACAUCUUCCUCCUCAGCCCGAUUUUAUACUUUAAAGUAGUUUUACAAGCUGUGGAGCUCAUGCACGUGUCUGAACCUGAAGGAGGAAUUGCUUCAUCACUGGAGGGGAAGGACAAGGCAUGGAGGUGCAAGGUCCAUCCUAAGAAUGCUGAACAUCAGUCUGGGACAAACCUUGCCUGCUCUCACUGUGACACCAGCACGGAAAGAAAGGAGAGAAGUGCCAUGCCCUGCAGAUCCAUUUUUUGCUGUUGUCACUAGAUGAAGGCAGAAGUUGGAAAUGCUUAGAAGAAAAGGAUCAUUUACCUCAUUGCUGUGACAUUUCCCAGAUAUAGCGGUCUAUAGCUGAAGUUAGGGAGGAGAAUUAGGAACGGGGGAUACGGCCCACUCCUUCCAAUAAAGCAGCAGCAGAAGUGGAAGAAAAGACCCA